rnacentral:rRNA from 1 species
AUUGAACGCUGGCGGCAGGCCUAACACAUGCAAGUCGAACGAGUGGCGGACGGGUGAGUAAUGUCUGGGAAUCUGACUGAUGGAGGGGGAUAACUACUGGAAACGGUAGCUAAUACCGCAUCACAUCGGAUGUGCCCAGAUGGGAUUAGCUAGUAGGUGGGGUAACGGCUCACCUAGGCGAAGAUCCCUAGCUGGUCUGAGAGGAUUAACAGCCACACGGGAACUGAGACACGGUCCAGACUCCUACGGGAGGCAGCAGCUGGGAAUAUUGCGCAAUGGUGGCAACCCUGACGCAGCCAUGCCGCGUGAAUGAAGAAGGCCUUCGGGUUGUAAAGUUCUUUCGGUAGCGAGGCGUUAACUACAGAAGAAGCACCGGCUAACUCCGUGCCAGCAGCCGCGGUAAUUC